rnacentral:lncRNA from 1 species
GCCACUAAUGAAAACUGAAAGUAAAGCUAGCGAAAAAGAGCUGAUGACUUCAGCCUUGCCCAUCACCGUAUGCAAGCGUACUCAGGAGGGUGGUGUCACACAAACUACCACCACCACUCGUCCCAGGACUCAGAUGGAAAUGAGUGAGCUCUGCAAAGAGACGGAAAUUCAACCCGACAAAACUCCUAUAGUCUGGCUAGGCUGCCUUGUGGUAGCGGCAGGACACGAAACUCUUGAUUCAGAAGAAGCCAUGCAACUCGUUCAGAACACAGCCUGGAGCCAAGGGCUAGUUACCGAUCCAGUCCCCGUGACGAGAAAUAGACAUUGGCCAAUACCAUUACCGGCCUUGGUAGUAGAAGUUCUCAUGCGGAAAUCACACAUCUGGCAUGAGGGCAGCCCCAACCAACCUAAUGCCAUUCAGUUGCUCCACGCCAUAAUCGGAGUUUCUUAUGCCGUGUGGAACCCAAAUCUACACCCUCUGAAUCUGACACAAGUGCAGCAGGGUGCAGCAUGGCCGCAACAUUAUCUACAUAACCCAGGUCGAGUUCCCUGCCUCCAUGAAGCCAUCGAAGCUGUGACUGACGUAUACAGAGGUCCACAAGGACUUAUUGCAAAAUUAGUCCUUAACCCGAGUAUGAAUGGAGCGUCGACAAACAUCUUAGGCCUAAUAUCCCGCCUGCAAUUGGCAAUGGUGGGCAACCCUCCUAAAGCCCACGCUGCAGCCUACUCAAUUCAAGCACCACCUGAAAAGACCAGUCGCCGGGGCCCACCCAGAGCAGCACUGCCUCAAAGAUCAGCGGAAGAAAGAGCCAUGUUCGGAUUUUUGUUAAACCACACAAGACUCAACAAAGCUCAACUACGGGCACUAGGAGAUGAAGGACAGAAGGCACUCGCAGAACAACUGGGCUUCAAAUACAAUGAGCAGCCAAAAAACGAGUAGUCGCCGUCGGCAGGUCCGACGACACGAUCCAAAAAGCUACUACAGAUGAUCCUCGCCCUUACGCCGAGCUCACCCUCAUCGAUCCAACGAACCCUCUCAGACAAGUAUGUGUCUCAUUCCUACUCGACACAGGAGCCCAAGUCAGCGUGAUUACCACUGAUGUACCCCAUCAGGUGACGAAGAAAGCCAUCAUGAUACAAGGCCUGAAUGCCGUAAAGCCCACACCUGUAAUUGGAUUUUUGGUAAAGGGUCAUCGAAAAGUGCUAACAGG